rnacentral:rRNA from 1 species
UACGUAGGGUGCAAGCGUUGUCCGGAAUUAUUGGGCGUAAAGAGCUCGUAGGCGGUUUGUCGCGUCUGCCGUGAAAGUCCGGGGCUCAACUCCGGAUCUGCGGUGGGUACGGGCAGACUAGAGUGAUGUAGGGGAGACUGGAAUUCCUGGUGUAGCGGUAAAAUGCGCAGAUAUCAGGAGGAACACCGAUGGCGAAGGCAGGUCUCUGGGCAUUAACUGACGCUGAGGAGCGAAAGCAUGGGGAGCGAACAGG